ensembl:lncRNA LINC02487 long intergenic non-protein coding RNA 2487
AUAAUUGGAUUGUGGAUAAUUUCCUUAUCUCAAAACAAAAUGAUGGCAGGAAAAUUGCCGAGCUUAUUUCUCUUUGAUCUGUGGCACUGGCUGGAUGGUAGAAGCAGAAUGCCACCCUCCAUUUAGCUGAUGACGAUGACCCACAUCUCCUUGCCUUCCCAGCAGCUCUCGGUGGGGUCUCUGUUGGGAAUGCCUGCUGAGACGGGACCAAGGACGGCUGCAGGAUGUGGUGUCUGUGCUCAGCGUCACCUCCUCCCAGGCUCCUGGGAAGCACCUGAGCAUCUCCUGACAAAGCCACCAUGAGCAAGACCCUCAGAGAAGGUAUGAAGAUGAGAGGCUGGUGUGAAGAGGCUGCUGUGAAGCAACUAUAUAGCAUCGGGCAGGACAUAAGGGGAAAUUGUUGCUUUCAUGUUCCUUUACCCCCACAGUUUGGAUUUCUGCCACAAGGAUCACUGUGGUCUUCCUCCCUGGGGCUCACUCCACCUACCCCACACCUCCCACCUCCCCCGUCCUCUCUUGGGGGACUUCCUGAGUUCUCGACAGAGCAGUUUCACUGUCUUCUCUCCACGCUUCCUGGACUGGCCCGCCCAUUUUUUUCUAUGACCCAGAAUUCCUUCCCAAAUAAGAGCGUCAUAUUCCUUGAGCCCCUUCACUAGAAGCAAGGAGAUGGGCAGGCGUUGAACUGCGGCUUUUCUCUAGACUCUUCCCUAAUCCCUAGGUUCCCCCAACUAUUUAGUCUAGAGCAAGCCCAGGAACAGUGAUUUUUUUUUUUUAACCUGCCAUUUCUGUUAUUCAAGCUGUUUUAGUCAGUUCAGGCUGCUGUAACAAAAAUGCAAUGGCCUGGGUGGUUUUAACAACAGAAAUGGAUUUCUCACAGUUCUUGUGAGGCUGGGACGCAGGAACCCCCACAUCCAAGUGCCAGGCAGUUCCGUGGCUGGGAGGGCUCCAGACUGGUGUGUGGAUGGCACCUUCUGCUGUGUCCUCACAUGGCUGAGAGAUGGGUCAUCUCUGUUCUUAUCAGGGCACUAAUCCCAUUCACAAGGCCCCCCAUGACCUAAUCACCUCCUAAAUGCCCCGCUUCCUAAUACCAGCACCUUGGAAAAUAGGGCUUCAAGAUACAAAUUUUGGGGGACUCAAACAUUCCAUCCAUAGCACCCGCUCAUGUGCUGUGAUGUCCAGUGAGCAGGCGGAGUUCCAGGGCUGGUCAGUGCCAGGUGCUCCUUCUCCCACCCGAGAACAGGGGCCAGGUUGCUCCUCAGGCACCCUGGGCAACUGCCCCUUCCCUUCCAGUGGGGCCUGACCUGGCUACCGAGCUUGGCAGCUAAUAGGCGGGCCCCUCAGCAUUCACGCUCCUGAGCUGCUUUAUCAAACUAGGAUUGUUCCCCCAGGUCUAAGAAAACCAUCCAUUCACUGCAAAGUUAUUUAUUACUGCGGAUGGGCUAGGAGUUAGAGGAAGAGAGUGACUCAAAUCACAACACCUCCUGGACGAAGCUGGAAGGGAUUAAAAUACGGCCUAAUUUCUCCC